AAACCCCUGCAGUGUUUGUGAUUGAUAUGCCCUUUGACCCAAUGUUUUAUAAAAGGGAGCUUUCUCUGGUACUGGUGUGCAUGUUCUGAUUCUUAUCAGAAAAGCCUUAAGGUAUCACAAGGCGCCCACUUGAACCUAUCGGUUCAAAGGUUUUUCCAACACGGCACAUGCGGGGGUAUG
rnacentral:other from 1 species